UACGUAGGUGGCAAGCGUUGUCCGGAUUUACUGGGCGUAAAGAGCGCGCAGGCGGUCGUUCAAGUCGCGUGUGAAAGCCCCCGGCUCAACUGGGGAGGGUCACGCGAUACUGAUCGACUCGAAGGCAGGAGAGGGUAGUGGAAUUCCCGGUGUAGUGGUGAAAUGCGUAGAUAUCGGGAGGAACACCAGUGGCGAAGGCGACUCCUGGCCUGUUCUUGACGCUGACGGCGCGAAGGCUAGGGGAGCAAACGGGG
rnacentral:rRNA from 1 species